UCAGAGCUCCUUCACAAGACGAUGGCCCUCUAAGACGCGACGCGUGCUGCUGCCAAAACAGAGAGGGACGACGCCGUUAGAAGGUUGCCGGAGUGAAAAGACCGCUGCUAAAUCAGGUAUCAAACUAGUUUCAUUGAUGCUCAUGUUGAAACCUGAAAACCUACAUAUAAAUAGAAUACAUGAUAGCAACACAAAUUCAAACUGAAACAGCAGCUAUCAAUGACGUUACUGAUCGUAAUUAUGAAUGACGCGGAGAGGAAUGCGUCGAGAGGGCUGUUACUGCUCCGUUGUCACACGGCCACCGCCAGGACGCCGCCGCUGCCAGACCUAUCGGAAGAGAUGAUAAUGGAAAUCUUGCUGAGGCUUCCGGCAAGGACGCUUGUUUCCCUAAGGAGUGUGUGCAGGUCAUGGAGAAACCUAAUUUCCUCCCCUGACUUCACCCGCAACCACCUUCGUCGUUCACGCUUACGCAAUCCAAGCCUGACUCCGCUACGAAUUGCUUGUUACAACAGUUUGCCCUUCAGAUGCAGUGGUGUUAGAUACGACAGUAUUGGAGUUCUCUCCGUACAGUCAAUAAUGGAGAACCCUUCUGAACCUACUAAAGUCGAUUACUUCAGUGGACAACACUACUACAGAAUCGUUGGUUCUUGCCAUGGAUUGUUGUGCUUUUUUGAUGAGCAUGACUACCAGAAUACGCGUGGCAUCUUGUGGAACCCCUGUACUGGAUUCACAUUCCAAUCACCGCAAAUCAGCGGUCAAGCCUUCUCUUCUGGCUUUGGUUAUGAUCAUCUCAGUGACAGUUACAAGCUUUUUGGAAUUAUAAGGAAGAAAGGGCCAUCUGGUGUUGAAUAUAGUACCAGAAUUUAUACAUUUGGAUCAACUUUGUCGUGGAGAAGAAUUGAUGAUAGCCCAUUUGGCCUACUUGGUAUCCCAACUAACCACUUUUGUAUGGCAGAGAAUGGGGUAUUUUUCGGUAGUAGCAGAGCAUGCACUAUUAAUUGGAUUGUUAAUCAUGUGGUUCUUUAUUUUGACUUGGGUAAAGAGACUUAUGCUCAUUUUACCCUGCCUGAUACGGAUUCAAGUGAUUAUCUCUGGAUACAAUGCAAAAAGUUGUGUGUUUUGAUAAACUGCCUUUCUGUUUGUUAUGGGUAUUUAAGAACACAACCCUCAAUUGUGUGGCAGAUGAAAGAAUAUGGAGAUGCUCAAUCUUGGACUAAAUUGGCAAUGAUUUCCUUCCACGGCCUGUUUUCUCCCUUACAACCUCUCUAUAUCUCGGAAACUGAUGUGCUUUUGGCCGUUUCUCCGUCUUUUAAAAUAGUUUUGUGUAACUUGAAUGAUGGCAGCGUAGAUUUUCCUGUGAUUGAUGAAGGCGCGGAGAACGAUCCUUAUCUUUCUCAAAGUAUAUGUUCUAGGAUGGCUUAUAUCUACCAUGAAAGCUUAGUUUCACCAAAUGGUCUUCAAGGCAACUCAUCCAAAACGCUGCUGCGUUUCAUCAAACCCAAACCGAAUCCUAUUGUCUCUUGGGUAUACGUCAGGCCAGAAGUCCAAUGACUAAUUCCUCGGGUAUUGCAGAGGCACAAAAUGGACGACCCUCCCAAGCAAGCAAGCUUCAUUCCCAUCCUCCAGUGAGUAUCGAACCCAGGAGAGAUGGUUAAGGAACACAAACCCUCAUCCAUCUGUGCCAACUUGCUUUGAAAUGGAAUCUUCAAGUUGCAAAAUUCUCAUGAGGUUUUGAAGCAUUAUACAGAGGCUAUUGACUGUAGUCCUAAACAUGCCAAGGUAACAAUACUCAUUAAUUAGAGGUGAAUGCCGAUCAUGGUCUGUUCAAAACUUCAAAUGCAUUUCAAGUUGUAGGUGCUUAUGUUAUAGUUAUAUUCUGAGUUGCUGUAUAAAAAUAACAAUAAAAGAAGACAAGAUUGCACUUGAUUUGAUUAAAGUUUGGACUAUAAACAUAUGGAAGUUUAAGCAUGGGAAGCAACAUGUUGUUUUGAUUUUUCAUUUUAUUAAAAAUUAAGGACCACUGAUUUGAGCCAAUUAUUCUUUUGUAACACAUGGUUCAAAUGUACCUUGACAAAAAAAUCCGGUAGGGAUCUUUGCUCUUGUGAGUUGAAUAUUGAAAAGCCAUUUGUUUCCUUCAAAUGAUUUUUCCUCGUUUACAUUUAUGUAUGGCAACGAUUUUUUAUUUCUACGAAGUUUCGUUUGGCUUUCAGGGAAUGUGGCGCUGAUUUUUUGCAUUAUUUUAUUUAUUUAGUAUGUUGUAAGGUCCUUGUGUAGAGUCCAAACGUGGUGAAUGCCACUCCCUCUAAGGUAUUAUUGCUUUGUUGAAUAUAUGAAGAGCCAGGAAAUUAUUCUUACAUGGUGGUUAUAUCUACUGGUUGUUCUUCUCCUUCCGAUAAAAGGGUCCGGAUGAGUAUUUCUUUUGGUGGUUUUUACGAAAAGCAGAUUAUUGAAGAAGUGUUAUUGAUGGUGAACUUCGAGAAAAGAUGAAUGAUGGAAAAAAGAUGAAUGAAGAAAAACGCUCUCAAUCUGGUUGCGAUAAGCAUGUAAUCAUUGCCAUGUGUGCGAUGAACAUUGCAACAAAAGAAGAGUGGCAGGAGCUGAUUCAGGAAUUCAAGUUAUAAUGGAAGUGUCUUUGCCUAUUCAUCAACACAACAAACAACAUGUAGGUUUAUAUAUAAAUUCCUCAUAUCUCAUAUAUGGAAGUUAGUUAAUUUAUUAGAAGUUUAAUUAAUUCGAAUUAUAUAUUUGUGAGUAGAGAGGAGGAAAGUGCUGCUUAAUUGAAAAGCAGUGGUAGUGAGGAAUCAAGUAGUAUUGGCUGCAAAUUCAAAGAAAUUAAAGCUAACUAGCUAGCUUCUUUUUGUUAAUUAUUAUUAUCAAUUCAUUUUCAUUCUUCUUGAUGUCGUCUUCAUGUUUUUGGUUUGGCUAAGCAAUAAAGCUAAGUAAGCAAUAAAGCACUUGCAUUUAUUGACUAUCAGCUUAUUAAUUAUAUAUGAUAUAUAUUAUCGCUAUCUUUGAA